rnacentral:tRNA from 1 species
GGGCCGGUAGCUCAGCAUGGUUAGAGCGUUGAGCUGAUAACUCAAAGGUCGCCGGUUCAAAUCCGGUCCGGCCCA